rnacentral:rRNA from 1 species
GAUGAACGCUAGCGGCAGGCCUAAUACAUGCAAGUCGAGGGGCAGCAUAGUCUUCGGACUGAUGGCGACCGGCGCACGGGUGCGUAACGCGUAUGCAACCUACCCACAACAGGGGGAUAGCCCGGAGAAAUUCGGAUUAAUACCCCAUAAUGCAGGGGUGCCACAUGGUACUAUUUGCUAAAGAUUUAUCGGUUGUGGAUGGGCAUGCGUCUGAUUAGCUAGUUGGUAGUGUAACGGACUACCAAGGCUACGAUCAGUAGCGGGUCUGAGAGGAUGAUCCGCCACACUGGCACUGAGAUACGGGCCAG